rnacentral:rRNA from 1 species
GAUGAACGCUGGCGGCGUGCCUAAUACAUGCAAGUCGAGCGAAUGGAUUAAGAGCUUGCUCUUAUGAAGUUAGCGGCGGACGGGUGAGUAACACGUGGGUAACCUGCCCAUAAGACUGGGAUAACUCCGGGAAACCGGGGCUAAUACCGGAUAACAUUUUGAACCGCAUGGUUCGAAAUUGAAAGGCGGCUUCGGCUGUCACUUAUGGAUGGACCCGCGUCGCAUUAGCUAGUUGGUGAGGUAACGGCUCACCAAGGCAACGAUGCGUAGCCGACCUGAGAGGGUGAUCGGCCACACUGGGACUGAGACACGGCCCAGACUCCUACGGGAGGCAGCAGUAGGGAAUCUUCCGCAAUGGACGAAAGUCUGACGGAGCAACGCCGCGUGAGUGAUGAAGGCUUUCGGGUCGUAAACUCUGUUGUUAGGGAAGAACAAGUGCUAGUUGAAUAAGCUGGCACCUUGACGGUACCUAACCAGAAAGCCACGGCUAACUACGUGCC